GCGUGGGAGAAGGCUCGGUUGUAAUCUUGUAAGAGACGUACAGAAUAGCACCGGUAACUCUGCCACGCCCGUACAGGUGCAGCUUACCGGAUUCACUGGGUUUAGCGUAGGGAUAAGUCGGUGAAAUACCGACUACUCGAAUGCACUGUGCUGAAUAUGAGGUGCGGAAUUGAUGUACGGUAAAUGCUUAAUAUCAUAAACACCAUGCAAGGUCUACCGUGGGGAUCAAACAGGAUUAGAUACCCUGGUAGUCCACGCCCUAACUAUGUACUCGCAUUUGCGAGAAAGCAUUAAGACACCUGGGAUCGACCGCAAGGUAAAAAGGAUGGCGGGCGCAAGCGGUGGAUGGGUUAAUUCAUCAGAACUCGCUGAAGGACGGUGAUGC
rnacentral:rRNA from 1 species